rnacentral:rRNA from 1 species
GUCCUUUUGUUAAUAAUUUAAGGUUUAACCUGCCCACUGAUUUAUAUUAAAUGGCCGCGGUAUUUUGACCGUGCUAAGGUAGCAUAAUCAUUAGUUUUUUAAUUGAAAGCUGGAAUGAAUGGUUGAAUAAGAAAAUAACUGUCUCUAUUUAAAUUUUUAUGAAUUUUAUUAGUAAGUAAAAAAGCUUAUAUGAAUUUAAAAGACGAGAAGACCCUAUAGAGUUUUAUUAUAAGAAAAUUUUAAGUUUUUAGAAUUUUAAUUUUAAAGUUUUUGUAUAAUUUGAUUGGGGUGAUUGAAAAAUUUAAUAAACUUUUUUUUUAUAAGUUCAUUGAUUUAUGUUUAGUUGAUCCAUUAUUAAUGAUUAAAAGAAUAAAUUACCUUAGGGAUAACAGCGUAAUUUUUUUUGAGAGUUCUUAUCGAAAGAAAAGAUUGCGACCUCGAUGUUGGAUUAAAAUUUAUUUUUGGUGUAGAGGCUAAAAAAUUAGGUCUGUUCGACCUUUAAAAUUUUACAUGA